rfam:Ixodes scapularis strain Wikel colony gcontig_1108378231678, whole genome shotgun sequence.
GCAGUCGUGGCCGGGUGGUUAACGUGGUGGACUAGAAAUCCGAUGGGAUCACCCCGCACAGGUUCGACUCCUGUCGACUGCG